GUCGAGGUGGUGUAGUUGGUUAUCACGUCUGUCUAACAGGACCACAUCUUCGGAUGUGACUCCCUGGUGCACAGAAGGUCCCGAGUUCAAGUCUCGGCUUCGAUA